rnacentral:rRNA from 1 species
AACGAACGCUGGCGGCAUGCCUAACACAUGCAAGUCGAACGAGACCUUCGGGUCUAGUGGCGCACGGGUGCGUAACGCGUGGGAACCUGCCCUUAGGUUCGGAAUAACUCCCCGAAAGGGGUGCUAAUACCGGAUAAUGUCUUCGGACCAAAGAUUUAUCGCCUUUGGAUGGGCCCGCGUUGGAUUAGCUAGUUGGUAGGGUAAAAGCCUACCAAGGCGACGAUCCAGAGCUGGUCUGAGAGGAUGAUCAGCCACACUGGGACUGAGACACGGCCCAGACUCCUACGGGAGGCAGCAGUGGGGAAUAUUGGACAAUGGGCGAAAGCCUGAUACAGCAAUGCCGCGUGAGUGAUGAAGGCCUUAGGGUUGUAAAGCUCUUUUACCCGGGAUGAUAAUGACAGUACCGGGAGAAUAAGCUCCGGCUAACUCCGU